UCCCCAGCAAAACCUGGAGCUGCAGCGCCGGAGCCACCUGGGCGCCCCCGAGGGAGCCGAGAGAGGGGACAGUGAGAUGAAGUACCGCGACCGCGCCGCCGAGCGCCGUGAGAAGCAGGGGGGGCCCGACCCCCCCGAGCCCAAACGGCGCAAAUUCGGGGGACCCCCCGCGACCCCCGGGGACGCCGAGGGGCCCCCCCUGGGCUGUGUGUGAC